UCCAGACUCCUACGGGAGGCAGCAGUGGGGAAUAUUGCACAAUGGGGGGAACCCUGAUGCAGCGACGCCGCGUGGGCGAGGAAGUAUUUCGGUAUGUAAAGCCCUCUCGGCAGGGAAGAAGAAAUGACGGUACCUGAGUAAGAAGCCCCGGCUAACUACGUGCCAGCAGCCGCGGUAAUACGUAGGGGGCAAGCGUUAUCCGGAAUUACUGGGUGUAAAGGGAGCGUAGACGGUGAAGUAAGUCUGGAGUGAAAGGCGGGGGCCCAACCCCCGAACUGCUCUGGAAACUAUUUGACUGGAGUGCAGGAGAGGUAAGCGGAAUUCCUAGUGUAGCGGUGAAAUGCGUAGAUAUUAGGAGGAACACCAGUGGCGAAGGCGGCUUACUGGACUGUAACUGACGUUGAGGCUCGAAAGCGUGGGGAGCAAACAGGAUUAGAUACCCCCGUAC
rnacentral:rRNA from 1 species